UUUGACAGGCAAGCGGUGCUUUCCCUUUCGAUCUGGUCAUCGGCUCAUCAUCGUCAUUAUUUCUCCCAUUCACGGCAGCUGCUGACGCUCUUUUCUUAUUCUCCUCCGGUUCUCCGAGAGAGUUCCAAUGAUUCUCCUGCAGUCACCCUCGCGAUUCCUCCUCCAAAUCCUCCAGGAUCGCCUCCUCAGCCCGGACAAAGGCGUCGAUCUGGAUUGCCACUCCGUCGAGUUCGAUGACGUCCGGUACCACAUCCAGUUCUCGAUGAGGAAUCCGCACGUGGUGGUGCUGUCUGUUUCCUUGCCCAUCCCGCCGCCGGAGGCUAUUUUCUUUGACGGGCUUCCUUUUGGCGCCAUCGAGGCCAUCAAGGCAGCGUAUGGGGCUGUGGCGCAGAUUCUUGAUCCCCCCAAAGAUGGGUAUAAUCUAACGAUGAAGCUCAACCUGUCGAAGCUUCCGUCGGAUGAAGAACAAAGGCAAGCUCUUCUGGUAAAAAUUGCAUCUGUGAGAGAAGUUGUGUUAGGUGCUCCAUUGAGAUUUGUUUUAAAGAACCUUGCAACAAAGACAGUUGCACCUGAAAUGGAUCAACUUAUUGCUCUUGUGCAUCGACCUAAGGAGUCGUUUUUCCUACUUCCUCAGCAGGCUGAAAAAGUAACGGUUGUCUAUCCAAUGAGGUUCCAGGACUCCACUGAUAUUGUUUUGGCAACAUCGUUCUUACAGGAGCUUAUUGAGUCGAGGAGAACGGCUGGACUUAAUAAUGCACCUUCUUGUAUGUGGUCCCCUUCUCCUCCUCUUGAGUUGAAAGGAGCACCUGCUCAAGCGCUAACAGCAAAUGCAGGAUUUGUUACUUUUGUGAUUUUCCCUCGUCAUGUUGAAGGCAAAAAAUUGGACAGAACUGUUUGGAGCCUUUUAACAUUUCAUGCAUAUGUCAGUUAUCAUGUAAAGUGUUCAGAAGGUUUCAUGCAUACCAGAAUGAGACGACGUGUCGAGUCACUUAUUCAGGCUUUGGAUCGUGCUAAACCAGAAUCAGAGAAGUCGAAGAAGUUGGUGUCUGGCAAAUCCUUUAAGCGCCUGAGUCUGAAUGAAUCUCGUAGCAAUUCAAAUUCUUGACAUUCUGUCGCAAAAGUAUGAGUUGCAAGGUGUUUUUCCCACUUGCUUAAGAAAUGCUAUUAAGAUGCCCCUCAAAGCUUAAGCACUUUCGAAUUCUCAACUCGCUGACCUUUUGUCAAUCUUGUCUGACCGAAUGUGUAUGGUUUAUGGAAUUUGCUCACGCGAGCGGGAGGCAGCAUCCUUUACGGUACUGUGUGCAUCGACGCGGACAUUUUACUAAAAUUUAUUUAGCUCGACCAUGCGAUUGCUGCCUGCCUGUCCUGGAAUGAAUCGGCGGAAACGUGGACGGAAAAUUCUGAAAAGAACAGUGAAGCUUAGCAAAAUCCUCCAAAGAACCAAAACAGAUCCAUCCAUCGGUCGAUCGAUCGAGGGGUCUGUGUCACCGAUUAAAGAUGGGAUUGCGAGAUAUAGAGACGGGUAAUCAUGCUAUAAUUUCUUGUACAGACGGAAUUGCCCCUCGGGGUAAGCGAUACAAGUGGCACGGAUGAAUGCGGUCAUUUUGUGCGUCUGUCGUGACGGGUCAUGACAGGGUGACGAAACAAUUGCAGAGGCAGCACUUUCGGGACCCAAUCAAAAGAACCAGUGAGCGGGGUAGGAAAGAAGGGUCAUUUUGUUUUUGGGUUUCGGAAAUCUCAAAAUACCAGCUUGCCCAAAUGGAUCACAAUAGAUGAAAGAGGCCCAAAAAGAACCGAAAGCUCAAGCCCAGGAAAACCCACCUCGUCGCCUCUAGUUGCGACACCAACCGUCCACUGAUCUCUUGCCUGUGACUGGCCCCAUUAAAACCCUUCCUGGGGUCCCCUAUUAGGUGUUUUCGCACUUCAGUUGGGCGUGCUCUCUCCCCCUAGCCGCAUGGACUCGUGAGCGCCCUCGGCGAGCGCGUGCGGCUCGGUUCAAAACCCUAUCUCUCAAUCAUUCACAAUUGUAUUCUUCCCUCUCUCUAUAUUUUUAUUUCAUUAUUGUGACUUUUUCUUGCUCUUUUGCUGGUUUCAUUUCGGAUUCAGGUUGUACGUACGUGGAACUAUCAUCGCAUACAAGAGGUCGAAGUCCAACCAGUACGAGAGCACCUGUUGGUCCAGAUCGAGGGGGUGAACAAGGAGGAGGCGGUCGCCUGGUAUUGCUGCAAGAGGAUGGCCUACAUCUACAAGACGCAGACAAGGGAACCCGGUACCGGUGCAUCUGGUGCGAGGUCAUCGAGAAUUGAUUCAUAGAUAGUUAUUAUUUGCUAUGUUUUAGAUAGUUAUAAGCAUGUCCUAAGUGGUUUUAUUUAAAUGACUCAUGAUCUAAGAUGAUAAUUCUUACACCUAAUUUAAUCAUGAGUGACAUGAUAGGAUGAGAUAGUUAUCAUUUAAGUCUUAUUUAUAGAAUCAUGGUUCAUGAAGCAAAGGUGUAUUCAUUUGAAAAUGUUUUAUAAAUGCUCUUAGUCUUAUCUCUUGUUUAAUACUAUUUUGGGUUUUUUGAUUGAAAGCAUUCUCAUUUAAUAGUAUCGUAAUAUUUUUUUUUUAUCAUUUUCUUGCUCCUUCAUCUUUAAUAUUUGUGGUAUCAUAGUCAAAUUCAUUAUUGCUCCUCUUAAAUUUAUUUUGAUAAAAAUAAUAAUUAAUUUUGUUAUACUAUACCCUUGGAGCUUGUUUAAACUCAUAAAGAACCUUUUUUUAGCAUAUACACCUUUUCUUUAUGUUUUUAAACUAAAAAACCUUCGGGUUGAGUAACAAAAGUCUCUUAUAAAUUUUUCUCUUCUUUUGAAGCAGAAGAUUUCUUCUUAAUCAGAAAUAUUUUUUCUUAACUUUUCCCAAAUGACAUGUUCGACCUUGCUUCAUGUGCUUGUAAGGAACUCAUUAGUUCAUCAAAUGAAAGGUAGAUAAGUCUUUUGAAUACUCAAUUGCAGCAACAACAUGAUUAAAUUUUAGAGUUAAAUUUCUCAAAACUUUUAUAACAAAUAUAUGAUCAUGAAGAUGUUCACCGUAAGAUUUCACUUGAUUAAUAAUUUUAAUCACCCUCACGACUUUUAUAGCAAAACUUUUAUUGCUUUCCAUGAACAAAAUUUUAAAUUCACGACGAAGGGUUUGAAGUUUUACUGUAAUCACCCUCGAUGAGUCUUGAAAUUCAUUUUGAAGUAUCAAUCAAGUUUACUUUGAGGUCAUCGCUGUUGUAAUUCUUCAUAAGAUUGUCUCAUCAUCUCAUGUACAAUCUACGAUGCAAUUAAAAAAGAAUACUAUCAAUCAAGAAAACCAAAGUAGCAUUAAACAAGAGGUAAGACCAAGAACACUUAAAAAACAUUUUCAAGUGCGCACACCUUUGCUUCAUGAACCAUGGUCCUAUUUAUAGGACUUAAUGGUAACUACCUCACCUCAUCAUGUCACUAAUGAUUAAGUUAGAUGUAGAAACUAUCUCCAUAAUUUCUUAGAUCAUGGGCCACUUAGGUAAAACUACUUAGAACAUGCUUAUAACUACUUAAAACAUGACAACUACCUAGAUAACUACUUAUGAAUCAAUUCUCAACACUCUCCCUUGAUUCAUAGUUAUAUUCAUCAAUUUGAGAUAUGAAAUGAAUAUAAUUCUAAAAUGGAAGUGACCUAGUGAGAAUUUUUGUAACUUGUUCAUCUGUGCUAUAAUACUUCAUUGUUAUGGCUCCAUUUUCUACAAGAUCCCGGAUGAAAUGAUAGCGUAUCUCUACAUGCUUUAUUCUUCCGUGAAAGAUUGGCUUCUUCGUCAUUGCAAUUGUAGCUUUAUUGUCACAAAAUAUUUUAAUUGUUUCUUUUUGUUCUUGAUGAACUAUCUCCAAGAAGUCUUCUAAGCCAUAUUGCUUAACAAGUUGUUGAUGUUGCAGCUACGUAUUCUGCUUUCAAUGUCGAUAAUGCAAUUGUUGCUUGUUUCUUUGAGCUCCAAGAUAUAGUUCUUGAUCCGAGGCUAAAAAUAUUGCUUGAAGUAUUCUUUCUAUCAUCCAAAGCUCUUUCCCAAUCACUAUCAGUGAAAUCAAAUAAUUUACAUUUAAAAUUAUCAGAAUAUCAAAUAUCAUAAUUUGUAGUUUCAGUAAUAUAACAUAAAAUUCUUUUAAAAAUUUUAAGAUGAUGUUUGUUUGGAUUAUGCAUAAACUUAGAUACUACACCAACAGAGAACGUAAUAAUUGAGUAUGAGUUAGAUAGGUGUUUGGUUCAAAAUGUUAUUCAAUUAUAUGUGGAUAUAUGAAUUAAUUAUUAAAUAAAUAGAUUUUAUUUUGUAUACAUCUACUUGAUAAUCCAUUCCAAAACUCAUAUUUUAGAGUUCAUUAGGUAAAAACAAUAAUGCCAUGAGUUCAUUUUCAUGCCGUCGACCACAAUUGUUUUUGACAUAGUGAAAGUGCAUAAUUAUUGACUUGGCAGGACCAACUUAUUUGAUCUACUGUGUUGAGCAAUUUUAGUUUUUUAAUGCUUGUCAUUGUAUGACCUAAAUAAAUGGAUGAACUAGCUGUAAGCAGUUCAAUGGAAUCCAUGACUUAUGAACUAACACACCCCUCAGGUAUCACAAACCAAGCUAUAUGGUGUACCAGAUAUUGACACAUGUAUGACAAGCUAGAAUGUUCUAUGUUACCAGUACUAUGGUUGGAAUAUUGGUGCCUGAUAAGAUCAUAAUGUCAGAAGAGCAUUAAAACUCUAAGUGUGCAACAAUGUUACUCUGAAAGCACAGAUUAUGUUUUGGACCAAACUCGGUUUGUUGCAACCUAAAAUAAAUGAUAACAAGGAGAUUGACUUGUAAAGCUCUGAAGUUUAAACUACAAAAGAACGACACAAAAGAGAGACCGUGUGCAUAUAUUCUUCCUUAUGAACUAACAUAUUCUCUUUUUAUCGGUACCAUAUCUUUCGUGUAUGUUGUGCUUGAUCUUUUGCAUGAUGGAAAGAGAAAAAAGAAAAAAGAGAAUUGAGAAUCUUAUGAGACCAAAUGAUCGGUAACAGAAGCUGCAAAAGGCAUUUAGAUGGAUGUUUGAGUUGGCCAACCACCCAUAUUUUGAAAAAAAUAGAUGCUAAAGUUCUUGGCAAAAAUUACGGAUUAUAUGUUCCCCUGGUGGAAAGAGAGGUAGAUGAAACCAUCUGCCGCCUCUCCUAUGAAUGUCCGUGUUAAUAUUUUUGAACUAACACUAUGUUUUUGUCUUGGCCAGGUGGGUUGUUGCAGUAGAACUGAUGCUUUGGGGCUGCGACAGCUGGGAUUUCGGUAAGAAUCGGAUCGAAAAAUGUAUUCCUGGUUGGUGUGCUAAUUAAUCGCAUUUUGAUCAGUUGCCAAACUCUUUUCCUUUUUCUUUUUAGAGAACUUGAAGUUUUAUUUACUAUAGAAAAAAAAGUCAUUUAAAAAUAUGGAAAUUGACACUUCAAAUCAAUCUCUGGAAUGGCUUUAAUGAACCUCCCUUCCUUGCCAAGAUCAGUGUUAGGCAGGUGUGAAACGAUGAUGAUGCUGAAGCCAUAGUGGCAGUGAGACAUACAGUGAAAUUGGGAAGUACAUUUGCGGCGCCCACGAAGAUGACAAAUCCCCAAGGUAUUGACUUAACAUUCCUCUAUAUUAAAGAGAAACUGUCUUGUGAAUGAACCAUUGGUCACACAUGUUAGUCUUUAGUUCAUACAAGUAGGUGAGGCUUGUUAGUCAUCGAGUAGAUAAAGUAAACCUUGAAGGAGGUAGCAAGCAUGGCGGGGGGGAGGGGGGAACAUGUUUAUGGCUAUGAACCAGAGAAGGGAAAGGGGUUGUGGGCGUUAAGGGGCCAUAUAUGGCUGAUGUGUCAGAUGAAGAGUGGGCAGCCCCAUGUGAAGCCACGCCUGAUGCGUCCAAAACAUUACUUUUUCUUGGAGACGGUCAUCGAGUGGUGCAUGAAGACUUGGCGGCCGUCUUUCAUGCAAAGGGGCAAUCACGAAGAGAUGGGAAGUGUGGACGAUGUGCUCAAUUAAUUUGACUGGUGCAACUGAAAGCUCCCCUGCAAGCAAAAUGUCAAAACGGAGCCGACAAGGUGUGCAGCCUGAGAUGCCCGUGGAUAGCAUCGCUUCCUUCACAUGGACCACUACUAAUUUGCAGUUUCUCAAGCUCUGUGGCUUGUGCUGCACACUAUGCUUGUUUCUCCUCCUCAUGUUCAUCAUAUUGGUGAUAUGAUUUGAAGGACUAUUUCCUCAACAAGAGGGAAUAUAACCUACUCCUCCAGAUAUUAUAGGAUGUCUCAGUAGCCACACAAGUUGAAGGAGGCACCUCAACAAUUCUUGAUUCUCGCCCUGCUGGACUUGUUCCUACUAGUAGUUGUCUCAUGGCUUCUUGUAUGACCCAUUCAACAGGUAAGACCAAGGAAUCCUUAUCAUCCUAAUAAAGACAUAUAUAUCAUGGGUUACAUGCUAA